UGCCCCAUGGCUGAGUUGGUUACAGCGUCCGACUGUUAUAUACAUGAAGUGUUCGAUGCAAUCGGAAGGUCGUGAGUUCGAGCCUCACUGGGGCAG